UGAGGAAUAUUGGUCAAUGGGCGAGAGCCUGAACCAGCCAAGUAGCGUGCAGGACGACGGCCCUAUGGGUUGUAAACUGCUUUUAUGUGGGGAUAAAGUGCGUGACGUGUCAUGCAUUGCAGGUACCACAUGAAUAAGGACCGGCCAAUUCCGUGCCAGCAGCCGCGGUAAUACGGAAGGUCCGGGCGUUAUCCGGAUUUAUGGGGUUUAAAGGGAGCGUAGGCUGUCUAUUAAGCGUGUUGUGAAAUUUACCGGCCCAACCGGUGGCUUGCAGCGCGAACUGGUCGACUUGAGUAUGCAGGAAGUAGGCGGAAUUCAUGGUGUGGCGGUGAAAUGCUUAGAUAUCAUGACGAACUCCGAUUGCGCAGGCAGCUUACUGUAGCAUAACUGACGCUGAUGCUCGAAAGUGCGGGUAUCAAACAGG
rnacentral:rRNA from 1 species